GAAUCAAUCUGGUGCUUUUCUUUAGCAGUUGAGGGAUUGUGAUACCUGUGAUGGGUAUGGGAUAUGAUCAUGCAGUUCUCCUUCUGUGGACAACUCUUACUGUCUAUAGAGUUAGGAAGUACUGGCAGCUUUUGAUGACCUUGCUCUGGGUAUAUUUCCAAGGAAAUUGACCCUUGCACUACAGCAAUGUCUUUGGGCACUGGAGGACAGAGGCAAAUCUACUGUGAAGAUCUUUCCAAGCAGGGAGCCAACCACACCUGGGAGAAGAAGGUGUCCUGGUACCACAGAGUGCUGUGGAUCCUGCUUGAGUGGGGAGGUGCCCAUGGACAGGUCAUCAGCGGAUUUUGGGACUACAAGAGAACAGUUUGUGUUGUCUGCCAUACUGGAUACACUUGGCUAUUUUUCAAGACUUUCUGUGCUUUGACUGGGCUGUGCAUUCACUGUAAAAGCAGUCAAUGCCGCAAUGAGACCACAAGCAAAACUGUGAGUGUCUUAAGCAGAGACCACACAACUCUUGUGAGUAUUUGCAUAUUUUAGCAACUCAGUCCAGUGUGAAUC
rnacentral:lncRNA from 1 species